AGCCGAGCUUCGAUUCCUCUCAUAUUCCAAUAAUAUCAAGAGCUCGAAUUGGUGUGGAAUUCCGAUUCAAUGGUGGCAUUUUACCUGAUGUGCAAGUGAAAAUGUGUGAAUGUGGAUCACAUUCACUUUGUGCUGGGAAGGAAAA